CCUACGGGUGGCAGCAGUGAGGAAUAUUGGUCAAUGGACGAGAGUCUGAACCAGCCAAGUAGCGUGAAGGAUGACUGCCCUAUGGGUUGUAAACUUCUUUUAUAUGGGAAUAAAAUGUUCCACGUGUGGGAUUUUGUAUGUACCAUAUGAAUAAGGAUCGGCUAACUCCGUGCCAGCAGCCGCGGUAAUACGGAGGGUCCGAGCGUUAUCCGGAUUUAUUGGGUUUAAGGGGAGCGUAGGUGGAUUGUUAAGUCAGUUGUGAAAGUUUGCGGCUCAACCGUAAAAUUGCAGUUGAAACUGGCAGUCUUGAGUACAGUAGAGGUGGGCGGAAUUCGUGGUGUAGCGGUGAAAUGCUUAGAUAUCACGAAGAACUCCGAUUGCGAAGGCAGUUCACUGGACUGCAACUGACACUGAGGCUCGAAAGUGUGGGUAUCAAACAGGAUUAGAUACCCCAGUAGUC
rnacentral:rRNA from 1 species